rnacentral:rRNA from 1 species
UUGAUCCCGCCGGACCUGACUGCUAUCGGAUUGAUACUAAGCCAUGCGAGUCAUUGUAGCAAUACAAGGCAGACGGCUCAGUAACGCGUAGUCAACCUAACCUAUGGACGGGAAUAACCUCGGGAAACUGAGAAUAAUGCCCGAUAGAACACUAUGCCUGGAACGGUUUGUGUUCCAAAUGAUUUAUCGCCGUAGGAUGGGACUGCGGCCUAUCAGUUUGUUGGUGAGGUAAUGGCCCACCAAGACUAUUACAGGUACGGGCUCUGAGAGGAGUAGCCCGGAGAUGGGUACUGAGACACGGACCCAGGCCCUAUGGGGCGCAGCAGGCGAGAAAACUUUGCAAUGUGCGAAAGCACGACAAGGUUAAUCCGAGUGGUUUGUGCUAAACGAACCUUUUGUCGGUCCUAGAAACACCGAUGAAUAAGGGGUGGGCAAGUUCUGGUGUCAGCCGCCGCGGUAAAACCAGCACCUCAAGUGGUCAGGAUGAUUAUUGGGCCUAAAGCAUCCGUAGCCGGCGCUGUAAGUUUUCGGUUAAAUCUGUACGCUCAACGUACAGGCUGCCGGGAAUACUGCAGCGCUAGGGAGUGGGAGAGGUAGACGGUACUCGGUAGGAAGGGGUAAAAUCCUUUGAUCUAUUGAUGACCACCUGUGGCGAAGGCGGUCUACCAGAACACGUCCGACGGUGAGGGAUGAAAGCUGGGGGAGCAAACCGGAUUAGAUACCCGGGUAGUCCCAGCUGUAAACUAUGCAAACUCAGUGAUGCAUUGGCUUAUAGCUGAUGCAGUGCUGCAGGGAAGCCGUUAAGUUUGCCGCCUGGGAAGUACGUACGCAAGUAUGAAACUUAAAGGAAUUGGCGGGGGAGCACCACAAGGGGUGAAGCCUGCGGUUC